rnacentral:rRNA from 1 species
CCCUUAGAUGUUCUGGGCUGCACGCGCGCUACACUGAAGCGUUCAACGAGUAUUCACCUUGCCCGGGAGGGUUGGGUAAUCUUUUGAAAACGCUUCGUGAUGGGGAUAGAUUAUUGCAAUUAUUAAUCUUCAACGAGGAAUUCCUAGUAAGCACGAGUCAUCAGCUCGUGCUGAUUACGUCCCUGCCCUUUGUACACACCGCCCGUCGCUACUACCGAUUGAAUGGCUUAGUGAGGCCCUCGGAUUGAGCCAAGGCUCCUUCACGGGAGCUCUGGAUUGAGAAGUUGGUCAAACUUGGUCAUUUAGAGGAAGUAAAAGUCGUAACA